UCGAUUCUGAAGGAUGUGCUGGCUUAACUGCAUGUGCACUCCGAAAUCUUCAUCCACCUGUGCACUCUAUGUAGGCGAAAGRGAGCAAUCUCUUUCUGUCUAUGCUUUUAUAUACCCCUUUUAAAAAUCUUAUGAAUGUAAACUAGGCUUGCYUAAAACACAAGUCGAAAUUUAAAACAACUUUCAACAAUGGAUCUCUUGGUUCUCGCAUCGAUGAAGAACGCAGCGAAUUGCGAUAUGUAAUGUGAAUUGCAGAAUUCAGUGAAUCAUCGAAUCUUUGAACGCACCUUGCACCCUCUGGUAUUCCGGAGGGUAUGCCUGUUUGAGUGUCAUUAAUCUCUCAACACAACAAGUUUAUUCUUGAUUGUGCUUGGAUGUUGAAGGCUGCCGGCGUCAUUGCCAGCUCCUUUUAAAUGUAUUAGCAGGACUAUGUAGGACCAGCUUCGGUUUGAUAAUACUUUUAUCUAUGCUGUCGCU
rnacentral:misc_RNA from 1 species